AUUGAACGCUGGCGGAAUGCUUUACACAUGCAAGUCGAACGGCAGCACGGGGCAACCUGGUGGCGAGUGGCGAACGGGUGAGUAAUACAUCGGAACGUGCCCAAUCGUGGGGGAUAACGUAGCGAAAGUUACGCUAAUACCGCAUACGAUCUACGGAUGAAAGCGGGGGAUCGCAAGACCUCGCGCGAAUGGAGCGGCCGAUGUCAGAUUAGGUAGUUGGUGGGGUAAAGGCUCACCAAGCCAACGAUCUGUAGCUGGUCUGAGAGGACGACCAGCCACACUGGAACUGAGACACGGUCCAGACUCCUACGGGAGGCAGCAGUGGGGAAUUUUGGACAAUGGGCGCAAGCCUGAUCCAGCCAUUCCGCGUGCAGGAUGAAGGCCUUCGGGUUGUAAACUGCUUUUGUACGGAACGAAACGGUCUGCCCUAAUACGGCGGGCUAAUGACGGUACCGUAAGAAUAAGCACCGGCUAACUACGUGCCAGCAGCCGCGGUAAUACGU
rnacentral:rRNA from 1 species